GUGGCACUUUAUAUAGUUGUGGCUCAAGGUUCGGUGGGUAAUUCAUAUCUUUUUUCCCCCCUCCUGGUCUUACGGUGGGAGACUCGAUCGGCUUGAGUAAAACUUCCUGAAUCUGGACUCAAUGUUGUGGAUCCUCAACGCGGGACGUCCCCGAUCAAUAAUUUAGUUGACUUAAACGUCAUCCGUGCAUUAUUCGUGGCCGGUUGGAGUCGUUUCGUGUACUAUAAAGCUUCUCGUCCUAUCUUAGCUUAGCUUGCUAACAAAGAGACGCGUUUGUGAUCAACACUUCUCUCAUCAAAAAUCAAACCUGAUGUUGUCUUCUUUCCGCCACCGACUGGUUUGAAGUGGAUACUUGAUCCAAAAUCAACGGAUGUUAAACCUUCUGCUGCUGUAGUUGAGGAUCUACUGGUCAGUCCUGACUACAUUAAAGUGGAGAACGGCUUUUGUUGUGUCACCUACAGUCAUACAACAGACUGCAGAAGCGACUUCUGGACAGAGGAAAAAUCUCAUGUGGUCGGUGAUAAGAAGGCGAAAUACUAACAGCAGCACGAAGAAGCUGAAACUGUCCGGUACAAUUUGGAAGCACUCAAGGGGGAUCACCCAUGAAACUGAUGCCCUGCAACUCUUAACAGUAUCAACUGAUGGCGUUGUCGUCUCCUCUGCCCCCAAUCAAGAGGGAAGAUAUUCUGGCAAACAACUGAGGCUCAGGACCGAGUGCCUCAAUUGAUCAAGGUCAAAUGUCCAUAUUCAGAGGGACAGAUGAAAAUAAUGGAUGUGGCAAAGACACUUUAAAACCUCCUUUCUUGAAUUACAAAAUGACAACCUCAUACUGGGCCCGAUGUUCCUAACAGGAACAAGAUGCUGUUUCCUUGUGGUAUGGACACUACAAUCAUAAUAUAGUUAUAGGGUAAUGCUGUCGAUAUUACUUGGACGGGAAGAAGGGCUAGUUGGCUGUUCAAAUAGUUAAUUGUUAAUAGGUAACGGUUUAAGAAAUUCCCUUAUCCCGAAAAUACAUUUUAAUUAAAUUGGGCUUCGGGCUCCGUAGGACUUGAUCACCCCUUAAAGCUCACUCAAAAACAUAUACUUAUUAUAUGAUAUAUUACUUUUUAUUAUUUUAACAACCUUUAUUUUUAUUUCAAUUAUUUGAUCUGAUGCUUUUAAGUACUUUCACUUCUUUUCAUAUGAUAUUCUUACUGUUAUUUACUUCAUAUUAUUUACCCAUGCUGUCAUAUUAUCAUUCUACUUUUUGACCAUCACUUUAUUAAAUAUCUUAAUUUCACUCCCAACUGUCGUCAUUC